CAGCCGCCGCGGUAAUACGUAGGGUGCGAGCGUUAAUCGGAAUUACUGGGCGUAAAGCGUGCGCAGGCGGUUGUGUAAGACAGGUGUGAAAUCCCCGGGCUUAACCUGGGAACUGCGCUUGUGACUGCACAGCUAGAGUAUGGCAGAGGGGGGUGGAAUUCCACGUGUAGCAGCGAAAUGCGUAGAGAUGUGGAGGAACACCGAUGGCGAAGGCAGCCCCCUGGGCCAAUACUGACGCUCAUGCACGAAAGCGUGGGGAGCAAACAGGAUUAGAUACCCCCGUAGUCCCUGUCUCUUAUAC
rnacentral:rRNA from 1 species